CGCUAGCUACAGGCUUAACACAUGCAAGUCGAGGGGCAGCAUGGUCUUAGCUUGCUAAGGCCGAUGGCGACCGGCGCACGGGUGAGUAACACGUAUCCAACCUGCCGUCUACUCUUGGACAGCCUUCUGAAAGGAAGAUUAAUACAAGAUGGCAUCAUGAGUCCGCAUGUUCACAUGAUUAAAGGUAUUCCGGUAGACGAUGGGGAUGCGUUCCAUUAGAUAGUAGGCGGGGUAACGGCCCACCUAGUCUUCGAUGGAUAGGGGUUCUGAGAGGAAGGUCCCCCACAUUGGAACUGAGACACGGUCCAAACUCCUACGGGAGGCAGCAGUGAGGAAUAUUGGUCAAUGGGCGCAGGCCUGAACCAGCCAAGUAGCGUGAAGGAUGACUGCCCUAUGGGUUGUAAACUUCUUUUAUAAAGGAAUAAAGUCGGGUAUGGAUACCCGUUUGCAUGUACUUUAUGAAUAAGGAUCGGCUAACUCCGUGCCAGCAGCCGCGGUAAUACGGAGGAUCCGAGCGUUAUCCGGAUUUAUUGGGUUUAAAGGGAGCGUAGAUGGAUGUUUAAGUCAGUUGUGAAAGUUUGCGGCUCAACCGUAAAAUUGCAGUUGAUACUGGAUAUCUUGAGUGCAGUUGAGGCAGGCGGAAUUCGUGGUGUAGCGGUGAAAUGCUUAGAUAUCACGAAGAACUCCGAUUGCGAAGGCAGCCUGCUAAGCUGCAACUGACAUUGAGGCUCGAAAGUGUGGGUAUCAAACAGGAUUAGAUACCCUGGUAGUCCACACGGUAAACGAUGAAUACUCGCUGUUUGCGAUAUACUGCAAG
rnacentral:rRNA from 1 species